CCUACGGGAGUCAGCAGUGGGGGAUAUUGCACAAUGGGGGAAACCCUGAUGCAGCGAUGCCGCGUGAAUGAAGACGGCCUUCGGGUUGUAAAGUUCUGUCGCAGGGGACGAAAAUGACGGUACCCUGCAAGAAAGCUCCGGCUAACUACGUGACAGCAGCCGCGGAAAUAAGUAGGGAGCAAGCGUUGUCCGGAAUUACUGGGUGUAAAGGGAGCGUAGGCGGGAGUAUAAGUUGAAUGUGAAAUCUAUGGGCGCAAACCAUAGCUGCGUUCAAAACUGUUCUUCGUGAGUGGAGUAGAGGCAGGCGGAAGUCCUAGGGUAGCGGGGAAAUGCGUAGAUAUUAGGAGGAACACCAGUGGCGAAGGCGGCCUGCUGGGCUUUUACUGACGCUGAGGCUCGAAAGCGUGGGUAGCAAACAGGAUUAGAUACCCUUGUAGUC
rnacentral:rRNA from 1 species